AUGAACGCUGGCGGCGUGCCUAAUACAUGCAAGUCGAGCGAACGGACGAGAAGCUUGCUUUUCUGAUGUUAGCGGCGGACGGGUGAGUAACACGUGGAUAACCUACCUAUAAGACUGGGAUAACUUCGGGAAAUCGGAGCUAAUACCGGAUAAUAUUUUGAACCGCAUGGUUCAAAAGUGAAAGACGGUCUUGCUGUCACUUAUAGAUGGAUCCGCGCUGCAUUAGCUAGUUGGUAAGGUAACGGCUUACCAAGGCAACGAUGCAUAGCCGACCUGAGAGGGUGAUCGGCCACACUGGAACUGAGACACGGUCCAGACUCCUACGGGAGGCAGCAGUAGGGAAUCUUCCGCAAUGGGCGAAAGCCUGACGGAGCAACGCCGCGUGAGUGAUGAAGGUCUUCGGAUCGUAAAACUCUGUUAUUAGGGAAGAACAUAUGUGUAAGUAACUGUGCACAUCUUGACGGUACCUAAUCAGAAAGCCACGGCUAACUACGUG
rnacentral:rRNA from 1 species